rnacentral:snoRNA from 1 species
AACUUUGUCCAAAAGUUUCCACCGCAAUAGACAGUACGACAGUCGAGACCGGAGCUCUUGCGUUUGGGAUUGUUUUAAUUCUAGUUGAGAGCUUCAAACCACUCGUUUCUAGCCGUGAUAAGCGUGUGGAUAGAUAAAUUCUUGGUGCCUUUUAAGAACUCGAAUGGAUAAUUCACAUGAGAUUCGAGUGUCAGAGGGUCCCAACAUUU